rnacentral:rRNA from 1 species
AACGAACGCUGGCGGCAUGCCUAACACAUGCCAGUCGAACGAGACCUUCGGGUCUAGUGGCGCACGGGUGCGUAACGCGUGGGAACCUGCCCUUAGGUUCGGAAUAACUCCCCGAAAGGGGUGCUAAUACCGGAUAAUGUCUUCGGACCAAAGAUUUAUCGCCUUUGGAUGGGCCCGCGUUGGAUUAGCUAGUUGGUAGGGUAAAAGCCUACCAAGGCGACGAUCCAUAGCUGGUCUGAGAGGAUGAUCAGCCACACUGGGACUGAGACACGGCCCAGACUCCUACGGGAGGCAGCAGUGGGGAAUAUUGGACAAUGGGCGCAGGCCUGAUACAGCAAUGCCGCGUGAGUGAUGAAGGCCUUAGGGUUGUAAAGCUCUUUUACCCGGGAUGAUAAUGACAGUACCGGGAGAAUAAGCUCCGGCUAACUCCGUG